rnacentral:rRNA from 1 species
AUGGACAGAAGCUGGAUUAGAAAAGGAGUUAGAAAGUUUUCGAAAGAACAUAUGAAAGGAGUUGAUGAUUUCAUGGAAUUUGUUCGGGCAAAUUUUGCCAAAGAUGCUCACAUUCUUUGCCCAUGCUGCAAAUGCCUCAACUGUUCAAGAAUGGCUCAAGGAAGAGUGGAAGAUCAUCUGCUUCUUAAUGGGAUGUCCAUCACAUAUGAUAGAUGGAUAUAUCAUGGAGAACCUUUAGAUGGACAACCUCAACAUUUUGAAGCUGAUACACAAGCCCCUCAUAUGAUGGGUGGUGGUGAUGCUGGCAUUGAUUUCAUGGAAAAGGUUUUGCGAGAUAAUGUUGGUUUGGAGGAAGAGGAUGGGCAUCAAGAUGAUAGGAUUCCUGACCUAUUGAAGGGUCUGUACGAUGUUGAAGAUCGUGUUGAUGGAGAGAAGUCGUUGUUUGCUGAGGUGUUAGAGGAGGCCAAGCGCGCAGCUCAUGAAGGGGGUAAAUUUUCAAUAUUUACCUUCACCGUGAAGUUACUCCACAUCAAGUCUUUCUACCGGAUUAGCAAUGCUGCAUUCAACGCAAUACUCCGCCUUUUGAGCUUGCAAUUCCCUGAUAGCUGUGUUCCCAGAUCUUAUGAUGAAGGAUUGAGCAUAAUCCGCAGGCUGGGGCUAGGUUAUGUUUCAAUACAUGUGUGCCCAAAUAAAUGUGUCUUGUUUCGGAAGGAUUUAGCAAAGCAUGACAACUGUCCAAAAUGCAAUGCCUCUAGGUGGAAAGAUGCUGAUGGGAAGAAGUCAAUACCGGAGAAGGUACUGAGGCACUUUCCGUUGAUACCAAGGCUGCAACGGAUGUUUAUCUCGAAGAAAUCAUCGCUGGAGGUACAAUGGCACAAGCUGAAGCGGCAACCUGUGGACAAUGAGCUGAGCCAUCCAGUGGACGGAGAGGCAUGGAAAGAGUUUGACAGUAUACAUUUAGAUUUUGCUGCAGAUCCAAGGAACAUAAAACUUGGCAUUGCCACAGAUGGCUUUAAUCCGUUUGGGAAUAUGAGCACGUCUUAUAGCAUGUGGCCAGUUUUUGUGGUGCCGUACAACCUGCCACCAUGGGCAUGCAUGGAUCAGUCCAACUUCAUGAUGCCGUUGCUUAUCCCGGGUCCAGAGUCUCCAGGAAAGGAUUUUGAUGUCUUUAUGGAUCCCCUUGUAGAAGAACUGCUCCAGCUCUGGACUGGUGUACCAACAUACGAUGCCUUGAGUCCGGAAGAAAAGUUCAAUCUACGUGCUGUAAUCAUAUGGUCCAUCCAUGAUUUCCCGGCGCUGCACACUCUGUCUGGGAGGAUCACAGCAGGUUAUAAGGCAUGUGUGCAUUGUGACAAAGACCCUUGCUCAAAGAGAAUAAGGAGCAAGAUCUGCUAUGUUGGGCACCGCCGCUUUCUUCCCCGAAACCAUCGCUGGCGAAGAAGCAAAGAUUUUAAUGGUGAGAAUGAAACCCGUGACAAGCCAGCUGAAUUCACUAAAGAAGAGCUAGAGCAGCAACUUGAAAAGGAGAAAGAUGUGAGACCAGGAAAGCUUGUGAAGAAAAGAAACCAUGAGGAAGGUCAAUGUUGGGACCGGAGGUCUUGUUUGUGGGACCUGCCAUACUGGGUUGAUCUGAAAUUAAGGCAUAAUCUCGAUGUAAUGCACAUUGAGAAAAACAUAUGCGAGAAUCUGCUAGGGACAUUUUUGAACAUUGAAGGGAAGACAAAGGACACGGUUAGUUCUAGGCUUGAUUUGGAGGACAUGGGCAUAAGAGAAGAUUUGCAUCUACAGCACAAUGAAGAUGAAGAUUCAUUUGAAAUGCCACGAGCAUGGUAUACAAUGAGUAAAGAACAAAAGCUUGCAUUCUGUGAAUUCCUAAGAGUGGUGAAAUUUCCAGAUGAUUAUGCUGCUAAACUAGCAAAGUGUGUUACUUCUGAUGGAUUCAAGCUUUCAGUACUGAAAACACAUGAUUGUCACAACCUCCUCCAAAGGAUUUUACUGGCGGGCCUCCGAGGAAUCAUGGACAAGGAUAUAUAUGAAGCGGUUGCUGAGCUGGGAAAUUUCUUUAGAGAACUAUGCUGCAAAACACUCAAGUUAACUGUACUGGAAAGACUUGAAAAAGAAAUCCCAAUUAUUCUUUGCAAGCUCGAGAAGAUUUUCCCUCCGGCUUUCUUCACCGUGAUGGUCCAUUUGGCGGUGCAGUUACCAAAAGAGGCAAUGCUUAGAGGCCCUGUGCAAUACGGUUGGAUGUACCCAAUCGAAAGAAGGCUGCUUACUUGUAAGCGUUAUGUGUGA